UAUUUGGUCUGUCUCAUUUUCUGGCGCUCGUUUUGUGUGUCUUGAAUUUGUUUCCUUUUAAAAAUGGAUUUUUUUUUUCGUUUUUCUUGCUUUGAUAUCGAUUUCUGUUUUAGAUUUUGGUUUGAAUAUCGACGUGAUUUUAGUCAUUAUGUUUCGCAUUUUUAAUGUUGUCCAUUUUUUUUGUCAUGAAUGUGUGUGUGUGUGUGUCUAUAGAAAAUAUAUGCUAGCAUUGCCGAUAACGAGAUGCUAAGUAAAAGUUGUAUGACCUCGGUUUUGUGCAGAUCAAUGUUGUUAUUGGAUGCAGCUUUAUUUUUUUUUUAAGUUAAAUCAAUGGUAUAAUUUUUCCCACAAAUAAUUGAUACUUUUGCAUGAAUGCACUUGAAUUUAUUUCGGCAAUUUUGUCUAUGUGUGUGUGUGCGUGAGAGAGAGUGUGGUUUUUUCGACCAUCAUUUGAGCAGAAGAUCAUAAAACAGCUGCUUUGCAUUGCGUAUAGACAGUCAAAAAAUUGCGAAAAUGAUAUGAAAGCGAGAAGACCUCGACGAACUGUAUUAUUCCAAAAAAGUGAGGCACAUUAAGAACUAUGACGCAGAAACAUGAAUGUGAUUUCAAAAUAUGCACACGUAAUUAAAUAACAAGUAGUAGAAUAUUUCGGCGAACCAGUUUCAUUUGAAAGUCGACAUGGAUUAAUUUUUUUUCCAACAUAAUGAAACAAUCAAACUUACAAACGAAGUAAAAUAAAAAAACUAUUUUUUGUAAUUAGAAUCCACGCAUACGCACAGUCCAUCUCAUUUUUUCGAAAUGUUUAUAUGAAUCAGUGUCGAUGAAGCGAAUAGUAAAAAACAUACGCACACGCGCGCGCUCAUUUGAUUUCACAUUUGCUAUUCAAUACUGUUUUCUUGUGUUCGCGUGCGCGUAGCGAGAGAAAGAGAGAGAUCCGUGUUUAUUGUUUGUUUAUUUAUGGAAUGAAACCGAUGAUAACGCGCAUAAAAAUGGAACUUUGUACGAAUAAAUAGAUGUAGCUGCAGUUUGUGAAUUUACGAUGGGGGCCGCCACAAUAGUGUUGUUCAAUUAAAACCGAUCACAUCAAGCACGAAUAGGUUACAUCGCAAAAAUUCACCAUGCCGGCCUUUGUUCAAUAUAGGUAAUAGCGUGUCCUAUCAGUGUCAAGUAUGACUUCAAAUUGGGUCAGUAUGGCUAUGUGAUAUGUUUUUUUAUCUUCUCAUUUUUAUUGUUUGAGUUUUUGUAGCGAUGAGUUCUGUUGAUUUUUUGAGGUCUGAUUUUUUUUUUAUAUUUAUAAAAUUAACGAGUUCUUUUGAAUGAAUUACAGCAGCGACAGAAUGGACUGUGUGAUUCUUAUUUUUUAAAAUAUAUUUUGCAAGCCAAAUAAAGAAUGGGACUUUUUGCGCAAUCGAGAUUCGUUCGAGAUAAAUGAAUAAUACAGCAUACUGAAUUUGUCUAAAGUGAUAAACAAAUCUGAUGGAUGGUAUUGAAAGGGAAACACGUUUGGUUAGAUUCAAUCCUAAUCACAAUACACUUUAUUGCUCGCACAUACUCGCCUGUUUCUGUAUGACGUCGAUACCAAAAAUAUCAACAACAACGUUCGAAGUGAAUUAACAGUCAGAAGCACAUAUAUCGAAUGGCCAAUUAUCAACAAACACACACAAAAAACUUUAAACGAACCAAACAAUAACAACGAAAACACACAAUGUGUCAGCUUUAUUUUGGAUAAGAAAUAUGUUGACAGAGACCGCUACGUUUGAACAGCUGAUGAUUUAUUAGUUUAG